UUGAGAGUUUGAUCCUGGCUCAGAACGAACGCUAUCGGUAUGCUUAACACAUGCAAGUCGAACGGAUGUUUUCGGACAUUAGUGGCGGACGGGUGAGUAACGCGUGAGAAUCUAGCUUCAGGUUGGGGACAACAGUUGGAAACGACUGCUAAUACCGAAUGUGCCGAAAGGUGAAAGAUUUAUUGCCUGAAGAAGAGCUCGCGUCUGAUUAGCUAGUUGGUGGGGUAAGAGCUUACCAAGGCAACGAUCGGUAGCUGGUCUGAGAGGACGAUCAGCCACACUGGGACUGAGACACGGCCCAGACUCCUAC
rnacentral:rRNA from 1 species